rnacentral:misc_RNA from 1 species
GGAAGUAAAAGUCGUAAUAAGGUUUCCGUGGGUGAACCUGCGGAAGGAUCAUUAUUGUAUAACCGAGGUGCGAGGGCUGUCGCUGACCCGAAAGGUCGUGCACGCCCGAGUGCCCUCACACACAUCCAUCUCACCCCUAUGUGCACCACCGCGUGGGUCCCCCUUUGGCUUGUUCGGAGGGGGGCUUACGUUUUCACACAAACUUUGUAUGCAGUGUAGAAUGUAUUUUUUGUUUUUGCGAUCACGCAAUCAAUACAACUUUCAACAACGGAUCUCUUGGCUCUC